UGCCAGAACAAAGCAGAGCAGCCGUGUGCCCGUGGCUGGUGGGGUUACCCCGUGUGCGGCCCAUGCAAGUGUGACGCCAGCAAAGGAUUCCACCGGGACUGCAACAAAACCACCGGAGAGUGCCGCUGUAAGGAUAACUAUUAUCGGCAGCUGGGCAGCGACACCUGUUUGCCCUGCGACUGCUUCCCUCUGGGAGCGCAUGCCCGCACCUGUGACCCUCUCACGGG